rnacentral:rRNA from 1 species
UGGGGAAUAUUGGACAAUGGGCGCAAGCCUGAUCCAGCCAUGCCGCGUGAGUGAUGAAGGCCCUAGGGUUGUAAAGCUCUUUCACCGGUGAAGAUAAUGACGGUAACCGGAGAAGAAGCCCCGGCUAACUUCGUGCCAGCAGCCGCGGUAAUACGAAGGGGGCUAGCGUUGUUCGGAUUUACUGGGCGUAAAGCGCACGUAGGCGGACUUUUAAGUCAGGGGUGAAAUCCCGGGGCUCAACCCCGGAACUGCCUUUGAUACUGGAAGUCUUGAGUAUGGUAGAGGUGAGUGGAAUUCCGAGUGUAGAGGUGAAAUUCGUAGAUAUUCGGAGGAACACCAGUGGCGAAGGCGGCUCACUGGAACAUUACUGACGCUGAGGUGCGAAAGCGUGGGGAGCAAACAGG